AACCGCACCCGCAUCACAGGGGAGGAGGUGGAGGUGCAGGACUCCAUGCCCGCAGACUCCGGCCUCUAUGCUUGCGUAACCAGCAGCCCCUCGGGCAGUGACACCACCUACUUCUCCGUCAAUGUUUCAGAUGCUCUCCCCUCCUCGGAGGAUGAUGAUGAUGAUGAUGACUCCUCUUCAGAGGAGAAAGAAACAGAUAACACCAAACCAAACCGUAUGCGUGAGACACUGUUUCCUAUCUUACUGCCCUUUGGGUCUGGGCGUUGGGUUUAAGAGGGGAGGGGAAGGCUGAAAGGGGAGGAAGAGAGGGCACAUGGGGUCACGGUGCCUGUUCUGCUAAGUGCCAGACACUGCUCACAGGUGUUGGGCAGAUGGGCAAGACACCUCCAGGUCCUGGCCUGGGCCCUGCUCCUGAGCCUGACCAGCUGCUCCUCUCCACCCUGCCUGUCUCUCUCGGCUUUCCCCGGGCAGCCGUAGCUCCAUAUUGGACAUCCCCAGAAAAAAUGGAAAAGAAAUUGCAUGCAGUGCCGGCUGCCAAGACAGUGAAGUUCAAAUGCCCUUCCAGUGGGACCCCAAACCCCACACUGCGCUGGUUGAAAAAUGGCAAAGAAUUCAAACCUGACCACAGAAUUGGAGGCUACAAGGUCCGUUAUGCUACCUGGAGCAUCAUAAUGGACUCCGUGGUGCCCUCUGACAAGGGCAACUACACCUGCAUUGUGGAGAAUGAGUACGGCAGCAUCAACCACACGUACCAGCUGGAUGU
rnacentral:sRNA from 1 species